CAGGAAUUGAGCUCAGAACUUGCAGUAUGUCUUGUCCUUUGCCUGAGGGGAGCCUCCUGAGCCUUGCUGACAGAUGUCUCAGUCUGGGAAGCUCCAGCAUGCUUUGCUUAGUGUCUCUCCGCCAAGACGGCGCCCGAGAUUAUAACUCUUCUAAUCUGAGCGCAAAGAAAGUGGACCCACCACUAAGACAUCUAGGCUAACCCUAGGACCUUAAUGCAUAUUUCGCAAGACUCAAGCAAAGCAAGAGGAGAGACUUGGCACUUUGUCAUUAGUUGCAAAGAGAUCAUGGAGAGACUAAAUUACUGAGAAUGCAGAGUCUAGAAGCUUCCAAAUGUGAGGUGACCUCGUCCAGCUCCCUGAGCGUCAUCCCCCUCAGGGACGCAGAGUUGCUCCACUUUGCCCUAUGCCCUCUCAUGACAGGGCUCAUGCUCUACCACACCUCCCUUCCACUGUAGCUAUUGCCCAAAUCCAGAUAGGCAUCCAGGGUGGCUGGAUAGAGAUCUUUAUGGGAGUAAACCUGUGCCUGUGGAUGAAAUAACAACCGGAAACACCUGGAGCUUUUUCCUGAACCUGGUACCUCUCCCCGGCUAACUUGAGUCAUGAUGUGUCACUUUUCUGUCUAUCUGACCCUUACUCUUGGGAAGGGAGAGAAGGAGCAGGACACUAAUGACUGUUUCCUGAUGUUAAAGCAUGAUUAGGACCAUUAUUGUUUAGUCCUUGGGGAAGCCAGACAACCAUCAGCCUGACUCUAAAGACAUGUAGUUCAAGACAGUUGCUAUCCUCAGGGCUCAUGGAAGCUCCACUCCUCCCCGCCUCUAUCCUUAGCCCACAACUGCCAAUCCUGCUGUAACCACUGUAGAUAGGACUUGGGGGAAGGGGGGUGGUGUGCCUGGUUCUUUGGUGUAUUCCCUCUAGGCCUCAUUUUCAUGCCUGGAGCAGAAUUUACACUCCUCUCCCAUUGCAGGUUUAGCUCUUGUCCCAGCCUCCUCCACAGGGUUUGGAGGCUAAAAGUCCUCUAAAACUAACUAGGAAGUGACAGUGGUAGGUAUUAACAUACAGUUCUUUAUGAAAGACUGCAAAAGCUCCAUUCUUUGAAUGACACACAAAACUCACUUUAACCAAGCCUGACUCCCAGGUGCAACCCACUUGGAAAAGACCAGCAUUCCAGUUUAUUGAGGAUUUCAAAUAUGUAAUAUGAUUUAGAAAAAAGUCAAAAUAUGGGAGUCAAAAGGGGCUUGAGGUCAGAGUUCCUGCCAGCUGCCUCCUUUUUCUUUCUUAUAAUGCUGAAAUAUUAUAGUAAUAAUAAUAACUAACAUUUAAAUGGUAUUUUACAGAGGUACCUUGGGGGCUCAGUCGGUUGAGUGACGAACUUCAGCUCAAGUCAUGAUCUUGCAGUUUAUGAGUUCAAGCCCCAUAUGGGACUCACUGCUGUCAGCCUGUCAGCACAGAGCCUGCUUUGGAUCCUCUGUCCCUCUCUCUGUGUCCCUUUCCCGCUUGUGCUCUCCCAAAAAUAAAAUUUUUUUAAAUGGUAUUUUACAGUUCCAGGGUAUUUUCAUUUAUAAUCAUACAAUAACCUUGUAUGCUUGGAAUUCUUACCCUCAUUUUACAGAC